rnacentral:lncRNA from 1 species
AUGUGCAAAACUGGGGUCAUGAUUCCUUUCUAUUGUUGUUUCUUUUCUUUCUUUCUUUCUUUUUUUUUUUUUUUUGCUCCUUUUCUGGAGUCUCACAUAACCCAGGCUGGUCUCCGUGUAACUCCUAAUCCUCCUGCCUCCACUUCCCAGGUGCCAGGAUUACAGGCAUGCACCACUACCCCUGGCCAACGUUUCAUUUUAGCUGCAAAUCGCCAGAUUAACGGGAGGAUGAACGAUAUGAAGAAAGAUUUUGGUGAAAGGGAACAUACUAUGGAAAGUGAGACAGUGUUCAUUGAACUGAUCUAUAUGCUGUAUUCCCUUGAUUCCCGGUACCAUAAGACAUCCAGCUUAAGAAGAAAUGUUUACAAAUCUUAUUCCGGUCAGUGGAAAUGAGAGCAACCCAUGGCCUUGUGGUUCUGUCUGUGCUUGGCUGAUGGAAGCAGGAGCCAGACAUGCCUUUCAGCCUGAAGACUGUGGCCUUCGAGCUCUGCUGAGUCAUUAUCUGGAUGUCUUAACUGAGAGUGACAAGGCACACAACUGCAAACUUGGCUUUGUACUGUAGGAAGAAUAAACAGCCGUGAAAACGACUUUUUCUUUUUUAA